UACGUAGGGUGCGAGCGUUGUCCGGAAUUACUGGGUGUAAAGGGUUCGUAGGCGGUGCGGCAAGUUGGGAGUGAAAUCUCUGGGCUUAACCCAGAGGCUGCUUCCAAAACUGCUGUGCUUGAGUGUGGGAGGGGCGCGUGGAAUUGCAGGUGUAGCGGUGAAAUGCGUAGAUAUCUGCAGGAACACCCGUGGCGAAAGCGGCGCGCUGGACCACUACUGACGCUGAGGAACGAAAGCUAGGGGAGCAAACAGG
rnacentral:rRNA from 1 species